rnacentral:lncRNA from 10 species
CACUGACCUGAUGCUGCACAGAGACCAAGAUAACUAUGAGAGGAAUUUAACUUAUAGUUCAACUUGCAGACAAGGGAAACUGACCCUCCUUCUUGUCCAGAGAUUGAAGCCACAUUCAUAAGAGGCUGGAGUGCAGUGGCAUGAUCUCAGCUGACUACAACCUCCACCUCCCGGGUUCAAGUUAUCCUCCCACCUCACCCUCCCAAGUAGCUGGGACUGCAGGGCCCAGCAUGUCUCUGCAGGAAGGCAGGGCAUCCCACGAUAUCACCAGCUCCUCUAGGAGUAUAGGAGCCAAGGAGCUGCUGAGACCUGCUGAUCACCCACUCACUCCC